GCCCNGCUAGUUCAGUCAGUAGAGCAUGAGAUUUUUAAUCUCAAGGUCAUGGAUUCAUGCCCCACAUUGGGCA
rnacentral:tRNA from 1 species